UACGAAGGGGACUAGCGUUGUUCGGAAUCACUGGGCGUAAAGCGCACGUAGGCGGAUGUGUCAGUCAGGGGUGAAAUCCCGGGGCUCAACCUCGGAACUGCCUUUGAUACAGCACGUCUCGAGUCCGGAAGAGGUGGGUGGAAUUCCUAGUGUAGAGGUGAAAUUCGUAGAUAUUAGGAAGAACACCGGUGGCGAAGGCGGCCCACUGGUCCGGUACUGACGCUGAGGUGCGAAGGCGUGGGGAGCAAACAGG
rnacentral:rRNA from 1 species